rnacentral:rRNA from 1 species
UACAGAGGUCCCAAGCGUUGUUCGGAUUCACUGGGCGUAAAGGGUGCGUAGGUGGCAGGGUAAGUUUGAUGUGAAAUCUCCGGGCUUAACCCGGAAACUGCAUUGAAUACUAUCCUGCUCGAGGUUUGGAGGGGGGACUGGAAUUCUCGGUGUAGCAGUGAAAUGCGUAGAUAUCGAGAGGAACACCAGUGGCGAAGGCGAGUCCCUGGACAACACCUGACACUGAGGCACGAAGGCCAGGGGAGCAAACGGG